rnacentral:rRNA from 1 species
CCUACGUGAGGCAGCAGUGGGGAAUAUUGCGCAAUGGGCGAAAGCCUGACGCAGCGACGCCGCGUGAGGGAUGAAGGUCUUCGGAUCGUAAACCUCUGUCAGCAGGGAAGAACGGUCACUGUGCUAAUCAGCAGUGAAUUGACGGUACCUGCAAAGGAAGCACCGGCUAACUCCGUGCCAGCAGCCGCGGUAAUACGGAGGGUGCGAGCGUUAAUCGGAAUUACUGGGCGUAAAGCGCUCGUAGGCGGUAUGUCAAGUCAAGGGUGAAAUCCCCGCGCUCAACGUGGGAACUGCCUUUGAAACUGGCAAACUGGAGUGUGUUAGAGGAUAGUGGAAGUCCAGGUGUCGGAGUGAAAUCCGUAGAUAUCUGGAGGAACAUCAGAGGCGAAGGCGACUAUCUGGCACAUAACUGACGCUGAGGAGCGAAAGCGUGGGUAGCAAACAGGAUUAGAUACCCCGGUAGUC